UACGUAGGGGGCAAGCGUUGUCCGGAAUUAUUGGGCGUAAAGAGCGUGUAGGCGGCUAGAUAGGUCCGUUGUGAAAACUCGAGGCUCAACCUCGAGACGUCGAUGGAAACCAUCUGGCUAGAGUCCGGAAGAGGAGAGUGGAAUUCCUGGUGUAGCGGUGAAAUGCGCAGAUAUCAGGAAGAACACCCGUGGCGAAGGCGGCUCUCUGGGACGGUACUGACGCUGAGGCGCGAAAGCGUGGGGAGCGAACAGG
rnacentral:rRNA from 1 species